AUUGAACGCUGGCGGCAGGCCUAACACAUGCAAGUCGAACGAGUGGCGGACGGGUGAGUAAUGUCUGGGAAACUGCCCGAUGGAGGGGGAUAACUACUGGAAACGGUAGAUAAUACCGCAUACCAUCGGAUGUGCCCAGAUGGGAUUAGCUAGUAGGGGGGGUAACGGCGCACCGAGGCGACGAGCCCUAGCUGGUCUGAGAUGAUGACCAGCCACACUGGAACUGAGACACGGUCCAGACUCCUACGGGAGGCAGCAGUGGGGAAUAUUGCACAAUGGGCGCAAGCCUGAUGCAGCCAGGCCGCGUGUAUGAAGAAGGCCUUCGGGUUGUAAAGUACUUUCAGCGAGGAGGCGUUACUCGCAGAAGAAGCACCGGCUAACUCCGUGCCAGCAGCCGCGGUAAUUC
rnacentral:rRNA from 1 species